rnacentral:rRNA from 1 species
CGAGCGCAGGAAGCCGUCUGACCCUUCGGGGGGACGACGGUGGAAUGAGCGGCGGACGGGUGAAUAACACGUAAAGAACCUGCCCAUAGGUCUGGGAUAACCACGAAAAAUCGGGGCUAAUACCGGAUGGGUCAUCGGACCGCAUGGUCCGCUGAUGAAAGGCGCUCCGGCGUCCCCCAUGGAUGGCUUUGCGGUGCAUUAACUAGUUGGGGGGGUAACGGCCCACCAAGGCGACGAUGCAUAACCGACCUGAAAGGGUGAUCGGCCCCCCUGGGACUGAAACACGGCCCAAACUCCUACGGGAGGGAGCAGUAGGGAAUCUUUCACAAUGGACGAAAGUCUGAUGGAGCAACGCCCCGGGAAAGAAGAAGGCUUUCGGGUCGUAAAGUUCUGGUGUAAGGGAAAAACAAGUGGCGCAGGCAAUGGGGGCACCUUGGCGGUACUUUGCGAGAAAGCCACGGCUAACUACGUGCCAGCAGCCGCGGUAAUACCUAAGUGGCAAGCGUUGUCCGGAAUUAUUGGGCGUAAAGCGCGCGCAGGGCGGCCUUUUUAAGUCUGAAUGUGAAAGCCCCCCGGCUCCACCCGGGGGAGGGGCCAUUGGGAAACUGGGGAGGGUUUGGAGUAUAAAGAAAAAAAAAAAGUGGAAUUUCCCCC